rnacentral:rRNA from 1 species
UAGGGUUCGAUCAUGGCUCAGAACGUACGCUGGCGGCACGCCUAACACAUGCAAGUCGAACGAAGUAGCAAUACUUAGUGGCAGACGGGUGAGUAACAUGUAGGUAUCUGCUCUUUGGCCUGGAAUAACACGAGGAAACUUGUGCUAAUACCGGAUAAGUCUUUACGGAGAAAGCUUUAUGCACCAUUGGAUGAGCCUGCACUUGAUUAGUUUGUUGGUGGGGUAAUGACCUACCAAGACUUUGAUCAAUAGCUGAUUUGAGAGGAUGAUCAGCCACAUUGGGACUGAGACACGGCCCAAACUCCUACGGGAGGCAGCAGUGGGGAAUCUUGCACAAUGGAGGAAACUCUGAUGCAGCGAUGCCGCGUGAGUGAAGAAGGCCUUUGGGUUGUAAAGCUCUUUCGUCGGGGAAGAAAACGACUGUACCCGAAUAAGAAGGUCCGGCUAACUUCGUGCCAGCAGCAGCGGUAAUACGAAGGGACCUAGCGUAGUUCGGAAUUACUGGGCUUAAAGAGUUCGUAGGUGGUUGAAAAAGUUGGUGGUGAAAUCCCAGAGCUUAACUCUGGAACUGCCAUCAAAACUUUUCAGCUAGAGUAUGAUAGUGGAAAGCAGAAUCUCUAGUGUAGAGGUGAAAUUCGUAGAUAUUAGAAAGAAUACCAAUUGCGAAGGCAGCUUUCUGGAUCAUUACUGACACUGAGGAACGAAAGCAUGGGUAGCGAAGAGGAUUAGAUACCCUCGUAGUCCAUGCCGUAANCGAUGUGUGUUAGACGUUGGAAAUUUAUUUUCAGUGUCGCAGCGAAAGCGAUAAACACACCGCCUGGGGAGUACGACCGCAAGGUUAAAACUCAAAUGAAUUGACGGGGACCCGCACAAGUAGUGGAGCAUGUGGUUUAAUUCGAAGAUACGCGCAGAACCUUACCAACACUUGA